rnacentral:lncRNA from 1 species
AAAUCCUAUUUUAAUCCUAAUUUAAAUUCUAAUAGACAUUAAUUAAAUCUUAGGUCAAAUCUUAAGUCUUAAAUCAAAUUCUAGAUAAACUCUAAGCCUUAAAUAAAAUCUUAAAUAAAUCCUAAAUCCUAAAUCAAAUCCUAGACAAAUCCUAAAUUCUAAAUCAAAUCCUAGACAAAUCUUAAUUAUUAAACCAAAUCCUAAAUUCUAAAUCAAAUCCUAGACAAAUCUUAAUUCUUAAACCAAAUCCUAUACAAAUUCUAAGUCCUAAAUCAAAUCCUAGACAAAUCCUAAAUCCUAAACCAAAUCCUAGACAAAUCCCGUCCUAAAUCAAAUCC